UGAGACAUUCUUCCAAUCGUAUGAUGUCAUCUUUGUUGUUUCCUUUGUCUAUAAUUUUUUUUCCAUCCUUUUGUUUGGUUUGAACUCAAUUAUAAGCUUAACAUGUUAUGUGUACCACAGAAAGUGUUGUGCAAACUGAAGAGGAAGAUCUUACCAGAGUGGACAAACACUAUUCAUUACCUGAUAAUGAAGAGGUGGCCUUUCCAACCACUGAGGAGGAAGCAAUCCCACCCUCCAACAGACGGACACAACUUUAAAAAAAAAAGGAUGGAUCAUCAGGAGAUCGUGCAGUGAGACAUUCUUCCAAAGGUAAAGCUGCCCAGAAAAGGCGACCCUGGACACAGAAAGAGGUGAAGGCUGUCGAGAAGCACAUGAAGCAAUUCAUCCCUUCUGGUAUUGUACCAAGAAAGAGUGACUGUUUAAAAUGUUUGAGGGCCGAACCGGAAGCUCUCCAAAACCGGGAAUGGCAAGCGUUGAAGUUCUAUGUGUACAACCGCAUUACGGCCUACAAAAGGAGAUUGCAGCUA